rnacentral:rRNA from 1 species
GUAAUAUAUAGAUAACGUGCCUCUUAGUCUGGGAUAGCCAUUGGAAACGAUGAUUAAUACCGGAUACUCCUUCUAACUCUAAUGUUAGUCGGGAAAGUUUUUCGCUAAGAGAUCGGUCUAUAUCCCAUCAGUUAGUUGGUAAGGUAACGGCUUACCAAGGCAAUGACGGGUAGCGGGUUUGAGAGGAUGAUCCGCCACACUGGUACUGAGACACGGACCAGACUCCUACGGGAGGCAGCAGUGAGGAAUAUUGCACAAUGGGGGAAACCCUGAUGCAGCAACGCCGCGUGGAGGAUGACGCAUUUCGGUGUGUAAACUCCUUUUAUGAGUCAAGAAAAUGACGGUAGCUCAUGAAUAAGCACCGGCUAACUCCGUGCCAGCAGCCGCGGUAAUACGGAGGGUGCAAGCGUUACUCGGAAUCACUGGGCGUAAAGGACGCGUAGGCGGGAUGCCAAGUCUGAUGUGAAAUCCUAUGGCUUAACCAUAGAACUGCAUUGGAAACUGGUAACCUAGAGUAUGGGAGGGGGAGAUGGAAUUAGUGUGUAGGGGGUAAAAUCCGUAGAUAUCACUAGGAAUACCGAAAGCGAAGGCGAUCUCCUGGAACAUAACUGACGCUAAGGCGUGAAAGCGUGGGGAGCAAACGGGAUUAGAUACCCCGGUAGUCCACGCCCUAAACGAUGAACACUAGUCGUCGCUCUGCCUGUCAGGCGGUGAUGCACUUAACAGAUUAAGUGUUCCGCCUGGGGAGUACGGUCGCAAGAUUAAAACUCAAAGGAAUAGACGGGGACCCGCACAAGUGGUGGAGCAUGUGGUUUAAUUCGAAGAUACGCGAAGAACCUUACCUAGCCUUGACAUUGAUAGAAUACCCUAGAGAUAGAGUAGUGCCUUUCGGGGAACUUGAAAACAGUGCUGCACGGCUGUCGUCAGCUCGUGUCGUGAGAUGUUGGGUUAAGUCCCGCAACGAGCGC